rnacentral:rRNA from 1 species
CAGGAUUCCCCCAGUAGCUGCGAGCGAACAGGGAAGAGCCCAGCACCGAAUCCCGCGGCCGGCGACGGCCGCAGGGAAAUGUGGUGUUAGGGAGGACCCGUCUAUCCCGGGGUCGAGCGACGAGUCCAAGUCCUUCUUGAACGGGGCCACAGCCCGGAGAGGGUGCCAGGCCCGUAGCGACCGUCGCCGACCGCGGGAGGGUACCUCCUCAGAGUCGGGUUGCUUGAGAGUGCAGCCCUAAGCGGGUGGUAAACUCCAUCUAAGGCUAAAUACGACCACGAGACCGAUAGCGAACAAGUACCGUGAGGGAAAGUUGAAAAGCACUUUGAAGAGAGAGUUCAAGAGUACGUGAAACCGUUCAGGGGUAAACCUGAGAAACCCGAACGUUCGACGGGAGAAAUUCAUUCGCGCCCGACGCUCACGCGGAGGCGGACGCAGGCGCGACGCCGCGGCGGCGCGACACGGUCUCGGCCUGUCGCGUUCGUCCGCGAGCGAGCCUUGCGUUCGUCGAGCCGCGGCCGGACGCGUGCACUUUUCUCCCGAUAAAGGACGUCGCGAUCCGUCGGACGUCGGUCUAAGGCCGUGACGGUGGAGCUCGUCGGGGGCGACGCUCGUCGUCCCGUCCCGACGAACCCGUCCGUGUUUCCCGACCGACAAGCCCGACGGUAUAAAUAAAGAGGCGCGAGGCCGCCGACCGUUAAAUCGACACGGCGUCCGAUCUUCGGCAAGCGCGUCGACGGAUUCGUACCAUCGGACCCGGUGCCGGUGACGUUCCUCGACGACUGUUGGCCGAAGGAUUAAUCUCGGACAGAGCCUCUCGAGCCGAUCUGCGACGCUAUAGCUUCGGGUACUUUCAGGACCCGUCUUGAAACACGGACCAAGGAGUCUAGCAUGUGCGCGAGUCAUUGGGAACUCAUAUAAACCUAAAGGCGCAAUGAAAGCGAAGGCCCGCCUCCGCGCGGGCCCGGGGAGGAUGGGCGACGACGAAAUUGCCUUUACCGGCGGUCGCCCCGCACUCCCGGGGCGUCUCGUUCUCAUCGCGAGAAGAGGCGCACCAAGAGCGUACACGCUGGGACCCGAAAGAUGGUGAACUAUGCCCGGUCAGGACGAAGUCAGGGGAAACCCUGAUGGAGGUCCGUAGCGAUUCUGACGUGCAAAUCGAUCGUCGGAACUGGGUAUAGGGGCGAAAGACUAAUCGAACCAUCUAGUAGCUGGUUCCCUCCGAAGUUUCCCUCAGGAUAGCUGGCGCUCGUCUUUGACGAGUUUCAUCCGGUAAAGCGAAUGAUUAGAGGCAUUGGGGUCGAAACGACCUCAACCUAUUCUCAAACUUUAAAUGGGUGAGAACUCCGGCUUGCUCGAACUAACGAAGCCGCGAGAUUCGAAUCAGAGUGCCAAGUGGGCCAUUUUUG